UAAUCUCACUACGACCACUUUAUUGUUGGUUUGUAUGUGGACUUGGAUGUUGCCGUGUAACAAACGGCUCGUCUGAAAUGCCUGAGUGUACCCUGCUUUUGCGGCGUAUUCGGUGUGAUAAAUCUUCACCGGAGUUGACUUUCGGGUCGCGCUUGUAUUGUCGGGCUCUAUGCUUCCAACCGUCCUAACAAGACAAUCUUUGACA
rnacentral:misc_RNA from 1 species